UACCCUUUAAUAACACUUUAUAAUGCAUUACAGAUGAAGGCUUUAAGUAAAGUGUUACCAAAAUGUUGAUGGUUACACCAUUACAGUUAAUACAAUUUAAUUGAAUAUCCUAUUUAUCCAUAAUUUACAUUAUGGGUUGUGAAUGUCGUUUCAUUGACGUGAAAAACACAUAUACAGCAUUUACCAUAUUAUGUGGGCGGUUAUGAGCAAAUGCUAGUGCCUUUUAGCAGGAAAUCAACUAAGAGGCCUUGCCGUCGAUCUUCUAAGGUAAGAGGUCACUGACGUAAACAAGUAGCAAGCAUUUAGUUGUGUAUUUGGAUUGGAGAUGAUGAAGAUUACCCAUAAUCCCUUUCUUCUUCUGUUCGUGUGGGGGCCCUGAGAUACAAAGCUGAGAUACUCUUGGGUUUGCAGAUAAAGAUGGCUUCUACACCACAUCCCACACAGACCUGGCACAGGGGAGAUGGUUCAGAUGCAUUGGAACCAAAAUGGAGGAAGCAAUCUUAUCACACUGCCGCAGAGAUUAAACAUUUCAACGCACCUCCAUUUCGAAGGAAAUGUUGGCUCCCUCCUCGCCUGGGCGGACAUGGAGAUUGGCACCACUACACCACUGGGGGUGACCGACCCGGCAAGUAAUCAGAGGAGAGGUAACAUCACAUUGGUGGACCAACUGAAGUCAAUAACAGCUUGCAUCAGUUGCUUUUAUCUUCUAAAUCAUGUCUUCUAAAAAAUCAUGGGUUAUUUUAUUAAAGCCAAACUUUUUUUGUGUGUGUGUGUGUGUGUGUUUUUGUGUAACCCAGCUUCUGGGAUGGGACAGUCACAACAACCUGUGGUUGUAAUUACCUAUUUAAAAGAUUUAAGCAGCUAUGGUGCUCAUCACAGCGCCAAAUACUUCAAUAUUUAGACGUACAGUAAUAGGCUAUUUAUUUUCAAACUUUUUUACAUUUUAAUCUGGACUACAGCAUGAACUUGAUAUUGUUUGAAAUGUUUUUAUUCUUUAUUGUUCAGUCGCACUUUACAUUAAUGGGUUAC
ensembl:lncRNA